CCUGCUCCGGCCGACUCCCCCCGACGGCCGGAGCAGGUCCAGAGGCCCUGCCGAACCUCCCCCCCGUUCGGCAGGGCCUCGCUU
rfam:Streptacidiphilus jiangxiensis strain CGMCC 4.1857 genome assembly, contig: Ga0104467_101